UAGCGCUUAGCAUACCGGGAAGGGAACGGCGACCGGGAAAGAACAAGUGGAUACCAAGAGUGCUGUGCUCAUACUGGACUUUAGGAGCUCAUGUAAUAUUUUAUGCUGAGCUUCCUCCCCCCACAUUACCAUUAGCUUGAUUCUCAGCUGUGCACUGAACUGGAGGCUGCCCAAAGAUGGUGAAUUUCACUUCUAUUGUCCCUUAAAGCAGAUUCUGCUUCCUGAUCACCAUGUGAGCUGCUUUCCACCGC